rnacentral:rRNA from 1 species
GUCGAGAAUAAUUCACAAUGGGGGAAACCCUGAUGGUGCAACGCCGCGUGGAGGAUGAAGGUCUUCGGAUUGUAAACUCCUGUCAUCUGGGAGUAAGACCUGACGGUGAAUAGCCGGCAGGGUUGAUAGUACCAGAAGAGGAAGGGACGGCUAACUUCGUGCCAGCAGCCGCGGUAAUACGAAGGUCCCAAGCGUUGUUCGGAAUCACUGGGCGUAAAGGGAGCGUAGGCGGCGUGGUAAGUCAGAUGUGAAAUCCCGGGGCUCAACCCCGGAACUGCAUCCGAUAAUGCCAUGCUUGAGGGUUGGAGAGGUAGCUGGAAUUCUCGGUGUAGCAGUGAAAUGCGUGGAUAUCGAGAGGAACACUCGUGGCGAAGGCGAGCUACUGGACAACAUCUGACGCUGAGGCUCGAAGGCCAGGGGAGCAAAAGGGAUUAGAUACCCCGGUAGUCC